AGUGAACGCUGGCGGUAGGCCUAACACAUGCAAGUCGAACGGCAGCACAGUAAGAGCUUGCUCUUACGGGUGGCGAGUGGCGGACGGGUGAGGAAUACAUCGGAAUCUACUUUUUCGUGGGGGAUAACGUAGGGAAACUUACGCUAAUACCGCAUCCGCCCUACGGGUGAAAGCAGGGGAUCUUCGCACCUUGCGCGAUUGAAUGAGCCGAUGUCGGAUUAGCUAGUUGGCGGGGUAAAGGCCCACCAAGGCGACGAUCCGUAGCUGGUCUGAGAGGAUGAUCAGCCACACUGGAACGGAGACACGGUCCAGACUCCUACGGGAGGCAGCAGUGGGGAAUAUUGGACAAUGGGCGCAAGCCUGAUCCAGCCAUACCGCGUGGGUGAAGAAGGCCUUCGGGUUGUAAAGCCCUUUUGUUGGGAAAGAAAAGCAGCAGGUUAAUACCCCGCUGUUCUGACGGUACCCAAAGAAUAAGCACCGGCUAACUUCGUG
rnacentral:rRNA from 1 species